ACGAGACACCACAGCCCGAGCACAUUUUGUUUCUUUCCCCCCUUCACAGCAGCGCACGGGCUCGAGUUCGCUUUACCCCAACGUUAAAGGUCCGGCCGAAUAGUACCGUUCAAAAAAAUCUCAACUUUCAACAGCGUCGGGUGUGCGUGCGUUGAUUCCGCAGCGCGACGGGAUACAAAGUACAGCAGUGCAGAAACUUGAAGUGUACGGAUUAUCUGGAGUUAAAUUACUAUACACAGAGUGUCUCGACCCCUCGCAGUGUGUUACUACGGCACUGAAGAAAGGGGGGAAAAUAGAAUCUAAAAAGCAAGUGAUGCAAGAAUCAGCCUGUUUGCCGUAGAGGAAGAAGAAGCGUGUGUGCGUUGCGAGCACUGAUAUCUGUUUGUGUGCGAAACAUCGCAUCAGUGUGAUGAAAUCAUUCCCAUCCUGCUCCUCCUGCGCGGCCAAACGAUCGGAUUAAUUUCCUUGCAGAAACGAAUUAAAAAGUGUAAAAAGCAAACUAGUACACAACACGGCGUGCAAAUCGGUGCUUCUUGGUCGAGUGUAGAAAGUGCGUGUGUGAGUGUUGGCCAAUGUGUGUGCUUUCUUGCAGAAGAGAAAAGUAAAUUUUGCAAAGGAGAGUGCCAAAAUUUCGUACAAGUUCUUGGAAGACGGUGAAAAUUAGAAAAAAGGCCCCGCAGCCCGCAGGUGUGUGUCGGCUACGAUCCGUUUUCGUGUAUAUUUCGCUGUGUUCUCACUGUUUGCUGCAACCGAUCCGGAUUUAAAAUUUGUGUGCAGAUUGCAGGCAGCAUCUGAUCCACAACUCCUCCCCGCAUCAGUAAAGUGAACGCACCACCGAAGAAGGUCCAUCGCUUGCACACGAUCGACCGUCAACCGAUACUGAGAGAGAAUCGUCCGGAGAUCCCGCCAGCGCUUGCACCACCGAUUUCGUCCGAUCACUCCACCCAUCCAUCCUGUCUCUCUAAGAUAUGAUAACAGAAGUAUCGACCCUUCCAGACCAAGCUUAGAGUGUGUGUGUAUUACACCAUCCCGGCUAAAGAAUUAUACCAUGGUUUUAUGACGUUGCUCAUGAUAUUAUUUUUCAAGCCAGCUUACACUCGUGGAACAGCGUACGCGAAGCCAAUGUCACAAUGCGGGUGCUUUCGAUACCUGUGGUACCGAACAGCCGCAAUAAAGAAAUUCGAACAAGCUGGACAACCAUCUUGCAAAAGUUUUUUUGCGAUCCCUCUUUGGAUCCCUCUUCGCUGUGUCUUCUUUUCAAUCGCCACAAGCUAAACGUCUUCGUUCGUCGCCCAACUUACCGUACAGGAGAGAUGAGGCUCACGCGAAGGCUUCGAAAACGGCGCGAAAAUGACUUCAUCAUUCAUGAUGACCGCGGUGCGGUGGUCAAUGCGAAACAGAUAAGUUAUGAAAUCACGCUCUCGCGAAAGGUAUUAAUUAUGGAAAAGUCUAGCCUUUAUUUCUAUAUAGUGAUUUGAUGCUGUUGGGGAUGUUGUUUUUUCCUCCGUGUUUGUGGCGCUCGCAACGCUUAUUUUGUUGGUUCCCGGGAAACAAAUUGCAUCCUUCGGUGUGGCGGUGGAGAUGCUGCUACCGAAGGUCAACGACAUUCGACACCAUUGUCUGAAGGCGUGCUGAAGGUUUGCCAGCAAGCGAGCAAAUACUGUUGGACUGGCUGAAACGCCCCGGAUCUAGUGAAACCUUCCCAAAAACGGAACAAUUGUGUGUAAAGUUGCUGAGCAGAACGGAAAGAUUUAAGUUCACUUUGCUAGUAAGGUUGAACAAUCUUGAUCUUAAUAACAGCGAGUGCAAGAUGUGGUUUUAAAUGUGAACUCUUUGAAGGUUUAACGAAAAUCGAGGCUUCGGAACUAUAAUUUGCAUUAAUUUCCUUAAAAUGAAGAAUCAUCAAUGGGGAAUGUAUAACGAGCGGUUUAGGAGCAUCAGUGCUAUUGUGGCAUUGUUGUGUUGGGACCUUUUUUCGGCCAACCAAUCUCAGAAUAAUGUGCAUGAAACAAACACCCUCCACAGCAUCGCACUUUGUCUCAAGGGUGACUCCCACGAUCAUGUUGCAAGCACACGUCCCAAAAGCUCACACACAUGGAGCGCAGUGAACAAGCGGGCGGUGUUCGCUAUCAAUCACCCUAGCGAGAAGGGCACGAGAAACAACCAUUUUCUACAUAAUACGCUACGUUAGUGCUACGGUGGUAGCCACUUGCUCUUGCGAUGUCAACAAGCCAAACACCAGCUCUCGGUUGCAGUUGGCAACAGUUCACGUCUGUCGAGUCAACAAAAAAAGUAUUCAGCAAAAAAACACACACAUAGUAAACGCUAAGUGGCUGCACACAAAUGAUCCGGCGAAAAGAAUAGGCAAAUCAGCGGGCUGUGACAUUGCCGUGCCAGGCGAUUGUCUAAUAAUAAUGUAAAAAAACGGGGAGCGAAGGUGAUCGAUUAACCGUUGAUCAGGGGGAAAUAGGUGGGUUACUCCCCGUGCAGUGUACUGCUUUAACGUACCGAUGAAGCAAAGAUACUUACUUAAAGCGUAUCGCAAAUUGCAUAAUUUAUUCCGCCCACUCUUGCAUCUGACCAGUGUCGGAUGGAAGUAAGUGAUUUGGGUUGCUCUCUGUGCCUUGGCGUACAGUGGACAAUUGACAUUUUAGCGUACAGGGCAUAAGGCUGCGACAACUUGCACAUAUACGCCACAAAACGUGGUAAAGUGUUUGACAAUCGGAGAAUGGAAAUCGUUCGACAUGUUUAUUGUCGUAUUAUUCGGUAGCGCGUUUUGGGAAGAAAAAGCGUCACAGCAUAAUUUACUGUCCGCUGCUGCUGGAGUUACGAGAGAGUUACAAUCGCGUCAGCAUAAUGGGCACACUGAUUAAACAGACACAUCAAAUUGAGUGGCAUGGUGACAUAUUUAGUUUCACUUACGUUCGCUCGAUACAUUCCAGAGCGCUAUUACGAUAUAGCCUUUGGUAUACCCUAGCAUUUCCAUGCGUUGGAGACUUAAUUCAGAGAAUGUGGCAGGGCAAUCUUCCCCAAUUCCAAUUAGCACCUCCAACUGGAUGCUGCGCAUUGGAUUGUGGGGCUAUUAUGCAAAGAUAACGCGCAAAGUUAACCUACCCAGGGUGGCACCCCGUUCCCUGUGAUGACGACCGUAAUUUGUCCAACUACUCCCGCCACCGUCUUCGAUGAAGCCCCUGGGGGCACUGUACACCCGGCACGCAAUGCUACAACCCGGCCGUUCGCCUUUGCUGCCCAACGAACCGGUAGGAAGCUUGUCAUAAUAAUUGACCAAGAUUACGAUCCAGCGCGCAGUAGUGGCCACAAAAUCCCGUUUGGCAAAUCGGACGCACGGGCUCGAUGAAAAUCGACAAAAAAUUCGAACGCCUAUUUAACGGCGACGGGGCCUGGUGGUGUACUGCCGUAUGAUGCAAUAAGGCGUAUGUUAAAUGAGAAGCUAAAUCUGGGACGGCAGUCGGCGAAGGGACCGUUGAAGGGGAUAUAUCAACCCUCCCCGCUUCAUCCCGUGUGCCGCCCUGUCGAUUAUUUGCUGCUCCAGGGCGUAUCCAGAGGUUCGCUUUCUCGUCGCCAAGCUGACGUUUUCCUCUUGAUCUCUUGCUGUCAGGGCACGGUGGUUUUCGGCUUGAUAUCGAUCGAUCGUAGUCGAUCGAACGACAAGAUAGUGUAUGAGAUAAUCAGAUCAUACGGAUCUCGAAUUUGUUUGUGUGUUGAUCAGCUAGUCACUGAAAGUAUUUUGUACGUAAGAGGCAAAAAUUAACUCGCUGUCACAACAAAGCAAGAGCUGGAUGAUAAAUUGCGCCCGUAGCAGUUACAGCUCACUCUUAAGGUCAAAGCUAACGGCACACUUUGUUUGGAAAAGUUUUGUUGGAGCUUAUCCUACCAAUCGGUGCGUUUGGACAACAACCGAGAGACGGGGAACAUAUCGAGCAACGUUUGGAUGAGAUAAUCAGUUAUCAAAAUAAGCCAGAGGAAUACAUAAAUAGCUAGAGUUAUUCUUAGAAUUCGUAGUUUUAAAUAAUAGUUUCAUAG